GACGAACGCUGGCGGCGUGCUUAACACAUGCAAGUCGAGCGGAGCGGCGAACGGGUGAGUAGCGCGUGAGUAACUGCCCCCCUCUCUGGGAUACCAGUUGGAAACGGCUGCUAAUACCGGAUAGUGGGGGAUGACUCGCGUCCUAUCAGCUUGGUGGUGGGGUAGUGGCCUACCAAGGCGACGACGGGUAGCCGGCCUGAGAGGGCGACCGGCCAAAUUGGGCUGAGAUAGGAGCCAAAGGGCGACUGGAGGCAGCAGUGGAGAAUUGUGCGAAAGGGGGGAAACCCUGAUGCAGCAACGCCGCGUGCGGGAUGACGGCUUUCGGGUUGUAAACCGCUUUCUGCCAUGACGCGGUAGUGGCAGAAGAAGCACCGGCUAACUACGUGCCAGCAGCCGCGGUAAUUC
rnacentral:rRNA from 1 species